CCUACGGGUGGCAGCAGUCGAGAAUCAUUCACAAUGGGGGAAACCCUGAUGGUGCGAAGCCGCGUGGGGGAAUGAAGGUCUUCGGAUUGUAAACCCCUGUCAUGUGGGAGCAAAUUAAAAAGAUAGUACCACAAGAGGAAGAGACGGCUAACUCUGUGCCAGCAGCCGCGGUAAUACAGAGGUCUCAAGCGUUGUUCGGAAUCACUGGGCGUAAAGCGUGCGUAGGCGGUUUCGUAAGGCGUGUGUGAAAGGCGCGGGCUCAACCCGCGGACGGCACAUGAUACUGGGAGACUAGAGUAAGGGAGGGGGAACCGGAAUGCUCGGUGUAGCAGUGAAAUGCGUAGAUAUCGAGAGGAACACUCGUGGCGAAGGCGGGUUCCUGGACAUUAACUGACGCUGAGGCACGAAGGCCAGGGGAGCGAAAGGGAUUAGAUACCCCGGUAGUC
rnacentral:rRNA from 1 species